ACACCAGACUCCUACGGGAGGCAGCAGUGGGGGAUAUUGCACAAUGGGGGGAACCCUGAUGCAGCGACGCCGCGUGGGUGAAGGAGCGUUUCGGCGCGUAAAGCCCUAUCGGCAGGGAAGAAGGAGGACGGUACCUGACUAAGAAGCUCCGGCUAAAUACGUGCCAGCAGCCGCGGUAAUACGUAUGGAGCAAGCGUUAUCCGGAUUUACUGGGUGUAAAGGGAGCGCAGGCGGCACGGCAAGCCUGAUGUGAAAGCCCGCGGCCCAACCGCGGGACUGCAUUGGGAACUACCGGGCUGGAGUGUCGGAGAGGCAGGCGGAAUUCCUAGUGUAGCGGUGAAAUGCGUAGAUAUUAGGAGGAACACCAGUGGCGAAGGCGGCCUGCUGGACGAUGACUGACGCUGAGGCUCGAAAGCGUGGGGAGCAAACAGGAUUAGAUACCCUCGUACUG
rnacentral:rRNA from 1 species